AAUCAACGCUGGCGGCGUGCCUAACACAUGCAAGUCGAACGCGAAAGCCCCUUCGGGGGUAAGUAGAGUGGCGUCCGGGUGAGUAACACGUAGGUAAUCUACCUUCGGGUGGGGAAUAACCAGUCGAAGAUUGGCUAAUACCGCAUAAUGCAGCGGCACCUAAUGGUGAUUAGUUGUUAAAGCGGGGGAUCGUAAGACCUCGCGCCUGAAGAGGAGCCUGCGGCAGAUUAGCUAGUUGGGAGGUAAUGGCUCACCAAGGCUUCGAUCUGUAGCUGGUCUGAGAGGACGGCCAGCCACACUGGCACUGACACACGGGCCAGACUCCUACGGGAGGCAGCAGUGGGGAAUUUUGGGCAAUGGGCGAAAGCCUGACCCAGCAACGCCGCGUGAGGGAGGAAA
rnacentral:rRNA from 1 species